GACAGAGGGUGCAAACGUUGUUCGGAAUUACUGGGCGUAAAGCGUGUGUAGGCGGUCCACUAAGUCGGAUGUGAAAGCCCUGGGCUCAACCCAGGAAGUGCACUCGAAACUGGCGGGCUAGAGUAUCGGAGAGGUUGGUGGAAUUCUCGGUGUAGAGGUGAAAUUCGUAGAUAUCGAGAGGAACACCGGUGGCGAAGGCGGCCAACUGGACGAAUACUGACGCUGAGACACGAAGGCGUGGGGAGCAAACAGG
rnacentral:rRNA from 1 species